rnacentral:rRNA from 1 species
CAGCAGCCGCGGUAAUACGUAGGGUGCGAGCGUUGUCCGGAAUUAUUGGGCGUAAAGAGCUUGUAGGCGGUCUGUCGCGUCUGCUGUGAAAACCCGAGGCUCAACCUCGGGCCUGCAGUGGGUACGGGCAGACUAGAGUGCGGUAGGGGAGAACGGAACUCCUGGUGUAGCGGUGGAAUGCGCAGAUAUCAGGAAGAACACCGAUGGCGAAGGCAGUUCUCUGGGCCGUAACUGACGCUGAGAAGCGAAAGCGUGGGGAGCGAACAGGAUUAGAUACCCCGGUAGUCCCUGUCUCUUAUAC